rnacentral:tRNA from 2 species
GCCGAGGUACCCUAGCCAUACAACACUAGAAAGGUAGGGGGCAAGCCUGCUAAGCUUGUGCCCGUAAGGGCUCGCGGGUUCAAAUCCCGCCCUCGGCGCCA